AGCUUUGCACAGUGGCAGUAUCAUAGCCAAUGAGGUUUAUUCGAGGCACGAUUAUUGCUAAUUGAAAAUGAAAACACAACUCUUCAAAACCUUGGGAUACAGCAGAGGUGG
rnacentral:snRNA from 3 species